UUACGACCACAUCACGUUGAAACACGGGUUCCCUUACGAUCAUCGAAGUUAAGUAACGUCGAGCCUGGUUAGUACCUAAAUGGGUGACCGCUUGGAAAUAGAAGGAGCUGUAA